GAGCCGGUAGCUCAGUUGGUAGAGCAACGGACUUUUAAUCCGUAGGUCCUGGGUUCGACCCCCAGCCGGCUCA
rnacentral:tRNA from 1 species